rnacentral:lncRNA from 1 species
CAGACUCAACGUCUGAUGGUUACACUUUUUGAGUCAGGCUGGAAAACCAGAGUACUACUAUAUCCUGGAUCUCUAGAGAUAGCAAGAGCUAUCUCUACCUAAGAUGGGUAGUUGGAGAAAGUGGAGAGAGAAAGAGGAUGACUGUAAGUGAGACUACUUUAUUAUUAUUAUUAUUUUUUCCAGAACAAUCUUUAUGUCUGUGGUGAUCUGU